AGACGCCGGGUGACACGAUGUGGGGCAAAGCCCUCCUGAAGGUUAGCAAGUGUGGGCAAAGGCUGCAGAGACGCCCCCGACACUAAUGCAGGUGCGCCGGCCUGGCCGCGUCUGCAGCAGUCGGGACCCUCUGGGGCCCCGGUUGUUCCGGAAGGUCGAGUGUAAGAGCGCGGCCGUCUCCAGGGUGUGAGGCAAAUGACAGCACUAGUCAUCCGUAUCACGUUCGACAGCACAAACGUACGUAACGAAAAUCUCCACGGAAAGAAACUGAGUGCACACUCUGCUCUCACCGGCCUCCUGAGCGCGGCAGCUGUUCCGCGGUCUGUGGAACACGCGCCGCCUGUAAGUGGAUUUGGAGCCAGCUUCUGCUGGGGGUGACGUCUGCGGCCACCUUGCAGAGGCCUCGUCACCGGGUGUCUGGGCGUCCGCGAGAGCCUGAGAAAGCAACGUGGACGGAGGGUUUCUGCCAACACCAGAAUGAGCGCCGCUCCAGACAGUCCCCGCUCCCGGUGGCGGCAGCCGCACUUGCAGACUCCCUGAUGCGUCCCCAGGCUCAGCUAAGGAGUUCGGUGAGAAGUCGGCCCUUGGACGCCCCCGCCCCUCUUGAGGCCGAGCCUCACGACUACAGUGAAUACACUCAGUUUCCAGUGUGGUGGCUUCCGGCAUGUGGUGUUUAUUACUUCUAUACCGAUUGACUUAGCAAGUGGGCAAAGAUGUUAAUUAAUGAGUUUCUGCUGGGCGAUCAGACAUUCUCCUCCGAUAGCACAUGUCAAGGAUAAAUUGGAUUCCGGAUGAAACAUGUACGUGACUCUCCAUCCUCCCCAGCUAGCCGCGUCCCACACACACAGCUGAGAGCAGGGACAUCCUCACGGACACUUGUUCAUUCAAUUAAUCUGGCCAGCGUUCACCCCAAGCACUUCCUCCAGGUUGGGCCACUGCAGUGGUGAGGCAGACGAGCCCUCACUUUCUGGGGCCUUCUGUUCUAGUGCAGAGCAGAGUGUGGUGAGAGGAGAGGCACACCAUGGAGCAACAGGAAGUAGGGGAGGUGGUGAAAUGCCAUGCAGGGCGGUGGAG
rnacentral:lncRNA from 1 species